GGAAGCUUAGCUCAGCUGGUAGAGCAGAUGACUCUUAAUCAUCGGGUCGUGGGUUCGAACCCCACAGCUUCCA
rnacentral:tRNA from 1 species